GCCGGCCACUGCUACGGCCCGCUCGACCCCGUCUCCAACAUUAUCAUCAACACUAUCUGGCACGACGCGGCGUUCCCGCCCGCCGUAAAACUCGAGGUGGACGUGAUCGGCACCAUGAUCCUCCACCGGACGGAGAACUGCUCCUUGUACGGCCUCGUCUCCUUCCUCUGCACACGCCACCGUCAUCUCACCGAUUUCGAUCAGGCCAUCUACUGCCUGCUCCAGGCAGACGGCGACCUACUCCUCACGGACCGCCGCCUCGAUGAUGACGACGAGGCAGCUGCCGGCUUGGACAGAGCCUUCUUGGCCGCCGCUACGGCGGCCUACCACCCCAACCCCGAUGCUCAAGCAAAGCUUUUGCGACGUCUAUGUCCAUGUGAUGAGCGGAUAUCAUCUAUCCUACAAGGUAGUACUGGCCAACUCUCCUCUCAAGAUGUUCAGUGCCUUGCCAGGUUGUUGUGUCCUGAGGCUGCCUGCGGCGAGCAGCCGCUUCGCCGGUUCCCCCAUCCAUGGUACUUGUCAUCGCAAACAAUGAUGUGCAAAAAGAUCAAUGCUGCAUUGAGUGCAUAUGCCGCGAUGCUCAGCGGGGAACCCAUGUAUGAGCUUCAUACAAUCUGUGGUGUGAACAAAUACGUGUCAGGCCCAGUUGGCACUGAUGCUAAGUGCUACCGCACCCAUGUCAAUUUCCUGGCAACUCCCAAAGGCACUCAGUUUCCUGCCGGCACAACUCCGCUGCUAUUCUUCGCUGAGGUUUGCAAUGAUGAUGAUGAUGACAGAGCUGGAAUGCCACAACCCUUCGUCUGUCGCGUGUGGGUGCCGUUACCAUGUGCCGGACGAGUACGGUGCCUUUACUGUGACCACAUGGGUAUUAGGAUUGUGCAUCCGGUUGGGGAAGACUUCCAUGGGCGCAAGUUGGAGUUUGAGAAGAUGGUCUGUGGAGAAGACCCCUGCGACGAUGAUUUUGAUCCUGCAGUGGACCAACCAUAUUACACCAAUACAAAGAUCAUCGACCAUAGUCGCGUCACAACGGAGAGGCUUAAUGGUAGGGUAGAAGAGGAUCGCCUUUACAAUGAUCCGUUGGAGGAUAGUGAUGGGUAUGGCAGUGACAUGACUUUGAUGAGCGAU
rnacentral:rRNA from 1 species